rnacentral:rRNA from 1 species
CCUACGGGUGGCUGCAGUGAGGAAUAUUGGUCAAUGGGCGGAAGCCUGAACCAGCCAAGUCGCGUGAGGGAUUAAGGCCCUGCGGGUCGUAAACCUCUUUUGCCGGGGAGCAGAGGUCCGGACGUGUCCGGGCCGGGAGAGUACCCGGAGAAAAAGCAUCGGCUAACUCCGUGCCAGCAGCCGCGGUACUACGGAGGAUGCGAGCGUUAUCCGGAUUUAUUGGGUUUAAAGGGUGCGUAGGCGGGCUUUUAAGCCGGCGGUCAAAUGUCGGGGCUCAACCCCGGCCUGCCGUCGGAACUGGGUGCCUUGAGGGGGCGAGAAGUAUGAGGAAUGCGUGGUGUAGCGGUGAAAUGCAUAGAUAUCACGCAGAACCCCGAUGGGGAAGGCAGCAUACCGGCGCCCUACUGACGCUGAGGCACGAAAGUGCGGGUAUCGAACAGGAGUAGAUACCCUUGGAGUC